UUUCUCAGCCAGUAAACUGAGAGGCAACUGAGAAUCAAUAUAUUGUUGACCUAAGAGAUCUUCUUAAUCCUGUGAUGAAGCAUUUUUAUCCAUAUUGAUCCAGAUAGUGAACUGGGUGCAUCCCAUCAGGACGGAAAUGGGUGAAAUCUCAGUGCUCAACACAAGCAGAAUACUUUGUUUCAUGUGAAGCAGCUUUCUUCACGACUACAGCACAGCUAACUCCAUGAGGGAAGCUCUCUUUUAGAAAAAAAAUGGCCCUCAUCCCCAAAUCACAGAGUGCUGUCCUACUGGAUGGACAUAAUCUGCAAGAAAAUGAGCUGACUCAUCAAUAAAGCGGGGCCCUUAAGCUGACAGCGCCUGUGAAGAGGCUACAUAACUGAGGCUGGAUUGCCACCUACUGGAGUGUUCUUGUAUCCAGACUUUUCAGAUGUAAUCCAAACAUCACACUGUUAUCACUGUAUCAUUUAAAUCAGAGCUUUCCCUUUGUAGAUAUUUUAAAACCCUUCAAACGUCUUCAUAACCUUUGAUGAGCUACACAAACAUUCAGUAGCUUAGAUGUGAAGUGAAAACAUGAUUUUCAAAACCUUCUACAAAUAA